AAUGAAUGAUGACAAAAUGUUUUGAUCUCAUGAUACAUACUGAUUAUACCAUUAACGUUUAUUUUUGACAUU
ensembl:snoRNA SNORD73 Small nucleolar RNA SNORD73